GAUGAACGCUGGCGGCGUGCUAAACACAUGCAAGUCGAACGGAAAGGCCCCAGCUUGCUGGGGUACUCGAGUGGCGAACGGGUGAGUAACACGUGGGUGAUCUGCCCUGCACUUUGGGAUAAGCUUGGGAAACUGGGUCUAAUACCGAAUAUGACCACUUCUUGGAUGUUGUGGUGGAAAGCUUUUGCGGUGUGGGAUGAGCCUGCGGCCUAGCAGCUUGUUGGUGGGGUAAUGGCCUAACAAGGCGGCGACGGGUAUCCGGCCUGAGAGGGUGUACGGACAAAUUGGGACUGAGAUCCGGCCCAGACUCCUACGGGAGGCAGCAGUGGGGAAUGUUGCACAAUGGGCGCAAGCCUGGUGCAGCGACGCCGCGUGGGGGAUGAAGGCCUUCGGGUUGUAAACUCCUUUCGCUAUCGACGAAGCCACUUGUGGUGACGGUAGGUAGAUAAGAAGCACCGGCUAACUACGUGCCAGCCGCCGCCGUAA
rnacentral:rRNA from 1 species